rnacentral:rRNA from 1 species
CCUACGGGGUGCAGCAGUAGGGAAUAUUGCUCAAUGGGGGAAACCCUGAAGCAGCAACGCCGCGUGGAGGAUGAAGGUUUUCGGAUUGUAAACUCCUUUUGUUAGAGAAGAUAAUGACGGUAUCUAACGAAUAAGCACCGGCUAACUCCGUGCCAGCAGCCGCGGUAAUACGGAGGGUGCAAGCGUUACUCGGAAUCACUGGUCGUAAAGAGCGCGUAGGCGGGAUAGCAAGUCAGAUGUGAAAUCCUAGGGCUUAACCAUAGAACUGCAUUUGAAACUGGUAUUCUAGAGUAUGGGAGAGGUAGGUGGAAUUCUUGGUGUAGGGGUGAAAUCCGUAGAGAUCAAGAGGAAUACUGAGUGCGAAGGCGACCUGCUAGAACAUAACUGACGCUGAUGCGCGAAAGCGUGGGGAGCAAACAGGAUUAGAUACCCCAGUAGUC